ACCUGAGUCAAAACCAAGAGCCAGACGUUCAACUGACUGAGCCACCCAGGUCAUUAUAAACCGUGGCGUACAAGCACCCUCAGAAGCUACGAGCACCAUCUAGAAACGCUGAGGCAGCACUGACCUCUUACACGUAUGGACCAGAAGCCCGGGCCGAGGAAGUUCUCUGCAGGAACCCGAAUGCCCACUAGCAGCAGUCAGGGACGACGGACAGUUCCUAGAAUUUCUGUAAGGAUGUGGCUGAUAAACACUUCCCGGCAGUGCGACUAUUUCGAGAAAACAGAAUGAAGACGUGUGGCAGAUCUGCGAUGUGUG